rnacentral:rRNA from 1 species
ACUAGUGAUUAAACUAGGAUUAGAUACCCUAUUAUUUAAGAGCUUAACAUUGUAAGUAAAUAAAAAUUAUGAAAGCAAAAAAUUAUGGCGGUAUUUUAAGCUUUUCAGAGGAAUUUGCUCUUUAAUGGAUAAAACACCAAAAUCUUACUUAAAUUUGUUACUUCAAUUUGUAUACCACUAUAAAAACAAUUUAUAACUUUAAUUGUUUAAAUUUAUUAAAUUAAAAUAUAUUAAGUCAAGGUGCAGUAAAAAUUUAAGAAUGAAGUGAAUUACAUUACUUUUUAGUGAAAAAAAAUUAUAAUAACACUUAGGAUUUGAAAGUAAAUUUGAAAUAGGAUGUCAAUUUGAAUCAAGCUCUAAAAUAUGUACACAUCGCCCGUCGCUCUCAUUAAUC